GGCUGGCGAGUAGGGUUCACCUGUUGAGUUUCCGUACCAAGUAAAAAGUUACAGAAAUAUACACCACGCACAAAAUAUUUGCUAUCCGGUGAAGAAUUAGAUAUAAAAACCUCUCCCUCAGCACAAAAACGAGAUAGAAUCCUCUGCACGUCGUCGAGGGGACUUUAUAAUGUUCAUCAAGAACUUUGAUUAUGGUUUCAAUUCAAUUUAUAUGUUUGAAUGCCCAAAGCCAAGAUGGACACAAGAGGAUCCGGAUUCUCCGAUAUCUUAUCUACGGGCAGGAAUAAUUGAGAAUGCUUGAGUUUAGACGCCAUCUUAGCUACGGGCAAGUCGAUGGCUGCGGAAAACUGCCUUCCGCUGCCAUUUUGUUUGUGGGCAAGUAAAUCCAGAUUAUAGAGAGUGGGGUUCUGAAGGGCCGAGUCGCCUAGCUAUGAUGUCAUCUCAAUUUAUCUCCGCAUGCUGCGGCUUGUCAGCGGGCAACACAUUCUGAAUGUUAAGUGCAUUCAGAGUUUCGAGCUGAUUUCUAGAAUAUUACAUUCCUGAGAGGUAAAAGCUUUCACUCUGAAUCCUGUUGAUUUGAAAUCUGUGCACAUCUUGGAAGAAAAAUCUAACCAUACUGAGUGAUGGUAUCUAGGUUAAUUGUGCCUGACGUUGCUUUGGAUUUUCAGAAACAUAAAAUAAGAAUGAAAAAGCAAGCGAAGUAAAUAUCUUGUCAUCAUGCAGUUAGGCACAAAAUCUCUUUUUCACAUUCUUAAGGACAGUAUUGGUCACUGCAAGAACUCCUCCAAAUGUUCCCCUGCUCAAGUCGUCAGACUGUACAGUCAAAGAAACAAACAAGUAUUUUUGUUUGCAAAGUCCUUUAGGACUGCCUACCUUGUUCCUGAUUCCCGAGGAGACAUCCAGCCAUGGAGGUUCUUUUCCUGUAAGGAUAUUUUGAAAUCAGAGCAGGAAAACUGGAGGGUUUCUUCUGCAAAAUACACAGAUUUGAUGAAAAAAAUCAGACAGAAAUUAGAAGCUCACGACAAGCAUUUCUCUGCUCUGAACAGCUUGAAAAUUAAGUUUGGAGAAUAUGUUUACUUUGAAGAAAAUGGCUGCAUUUUUCGUUCAAAGCUAGGAGAAGUUGAUGGUGGUAACAAUGAAGUAUUACUUAGUACAGAAGCUCUACCCUUUCAUGAUUCCUUUAUCCAUCGCAUUCGAAUUUCCUCAGAUCAAAGAUAUAUAGCUACUGGAAUUAAAAGUGCGAAUUCUGAAGAAUCUGCUUGUAUCAUUGUGAAAAUAAAUGCAUUACCAAAAGUGGAAUGUAUUAUUCCCAAUGUGUUUAGUUUUGAAUGGGCUACACAAGACAUCCUCUUCUAUACCACCCAGAAGAACCUUCAGAGUCGUGAUGUGUACUUGUCUGAUUUUAGUAAAAAAUGUUUCAAGCUGGUUUAUACAGAACAGGAUGCAAGAUAUUUUGUGGAUCUGUACCUCACAAAAGACAAGCAGUACCUGACUAUAAACAGUAAUAGCAAGACUACCUCUGAAGUGUGGUUGGUUGACUGUAAUCAACCCUUUAUGUCUCCUGUUCUCGUGCAACAACGAACUGAAGGAAUCAUUUACCACAUUGAGCACAGAAAUAAUGAACUGUGCAUUCUUACUACAUAUGGUGAUCCAGAGGGAUACAAGCUAAUGAAGGCUCCCAUUGGUUCAUGUGGUUUGGAGAACUGGUCGUCCAUUUACACUGUGAAAGAAAAGGCUAAAUUAGUUGACUUAGAAAUGUUCAAAGACCACUGCAUUGCCUUUCUGAAGUUCCAUGGCCGCCUUUAUUUAGAUGUUAUUUCUCUUGCAUCAAGUUCAGUUCACAGUGUUAAGCUACCUGACUGGGCUUGUUCAUUUGAACUGGAGCCACAACCUGAAUACAACACCAGCACUUGCUAUUUUUGGCUCAUCUCCCCAGUUCAGCCUCCCAUACGUUUUACAUAUUCAUUGAUGGAAAACAGUCUUAUUGAGCACACUGAGCAAGAAAUGCCAAUUACUGUGAAUUGCAGCACCGUACGUUUAGAAGCUAAGAGCAAGGAUGAAACUUGGGUGCCAAUUACAGUUUUUCAUAAAACCAGUUCUAUAGAGCUGUGCAGGAUGCCACUUCUGAUUCAUGUAUAUGGAGCUUAUGGCAUAGAUGUGAACAUGAAUUUUAAAGCAGAAAAUCUAAUGUUAAUCAAGGAUGGGUGGAUAUUAGCAUUCUGUCAUGUCAGAGGUGGAGGAGAGUUAGGACUGGGAUGGCAUAAAGAGGGCUGCAUGAUGAAGAAGCACAAUGGUAUCCAAGACCUUGAGGCCUGCAUAAGGUUGUUACAUGAUAUGGGAUAUUCUCAGCCAAUGCAUACAGCCCUGAUGACUCUGAGUGCUGGAGGAGUUCUUGCAGGAGCCCUCUACAAUAAUCAUCCCCACCUGCUGAGAGCUAUGGUUUUGCAAGCCCCUUUCUUGGAUGUUUUAAAUACCAUGUUAGAUCCUGAUCUUCCCUUGACUAUUGAAGAACAAGAAGAAUGGGGAAAUCCAUUGGUUGAUGAAAACUGCAAGAAAUAUAUUAAAAGCUACUGUCCAUAUCAGAAUAUCAGGCCACAGAAUUAUCCGUCUGUUUUUAUCACAGUCUCUGAAAAUGAUCAACGAGUACCUCUGGCAGGGUUAUUAAGAUACAUCUGUAAACUUAGAAAAGCUGUAAAAGAUCAUGCUCAAGCCAACAGCACAAAUGAAAAAGAACUUCAGACACCUAAUAUUAUCUUAGAUAUUCAACCAGGAGGCAGCCACUGUGCUCCAUCUUUAAAUCAGGUAUGUUUGUUGCAAAUCCAGUUAACAAUAGCAUGCCUGCAAUAUCUGUGAUGCUCUGUAGAUUUGCAAGUUAUUCUCAGACUUCUCCACCAUUGCUUAUUUACACACAUCCCUCCUGCCAAAAUCCAGACUUCCCAGCUGAAGAACAGUCUUCCAUGAUGUUAUUGAAGAAAGACUUGCUGUUUCCCCAUCACAAAGUUAUGCUAGGACGUCAUCUCACAGUGGCAUCAUUUUUACAGAUUUGCCACAUAUUGCAUUGCUCUGACACCAUACAUAAUACAUGAUCAAAACAAAGAUCAGGCAACUCUUUGUAGAGCACAGGGUGAAUCCAUUCAUUAGCAAAAAGUGCUCUGUGGAUCUGAAUCAUUGGAUUCAUAGGUAGAAGUCUGUGGGGAUCAGAGUGAGAGAAAGAAUCUGAGUUUUGACAACAGUAAUGCCAACAAGAUGAAGAGCAAAUGCUUCACUGUAUGUUCAUGGAAUUCAUAUUUGUUCUGCUGAAAUUGAAUACAUUACCAGCUGUAGAAAAUAUCCAUCUUAGAAUUCUUAAAGGGCUCAAAUAUGAAAUUGCGGACCUUCUUCCAAAAAUAUGUAAUAUAUGUAAAUAUGUACGUAUCUCAAUAUAUUCCCUACGAUCAGUCUCGGUACCAGAGCACUGAAGAAUUGCCAAUAUAACUUUUUUUUUAAAGGGAUCCACUUAGGAUCCAGGAAAUUGCAGUCUAGUUAACUUGUCUUCUACAAAAUUAAUUGAAAGUGUUAUUAGUAAGCCCUACUGAAAAUGAAUUAGCAUGAUUUCUGCAAAGGUAUGUCCUGUCUCGCUACCUUGUUAAAGUUAUUUGAGAGCAUCAAGAAACACAUGAACAGGGGUGAUCUGAUAGUCAUGGUUUACUUGGAGUUCCAAAAAAUUUUUGAAAAGUCCCUUACCAAAGACUCCUUAGUAAACCUACCCACCAUGAAAUAAAGGGGAAGUCCUUUUACAGACUGAUAACUGAUUAAAGAUUAAAGAAAGGAGAGAAUAGAAAUAAAUGACAAUUUAUCCCACUAGUGGAAUGUAAACAGUAGGGUCCAACAGAAUUUUCCAUGGGUGCCAUGACUUUUCAACCAAUUCGUAAACAUUCUGGAAUUAGGAAUGAGCAGUGAAGCAGCCAAAUUUGUUGAGGGUGGUUAAAACAAAAAUGGAUUGUAAAGCACUCCAAAGAGAUCUGUCCGAAGUGGGAGAAUGAGCAUAAAAUAGCUAAUAUGGUUCAGUUUAAGCAAGUGUAAAGUAAUGCACGUUGAGGUGAAAAAUUCCAAUUUCAAAUAUAAACUGUUGAGAUCUACAGGUUGUGAUGGACAACUCAAUGAAAAUAUUGACCCAGUGCACAGGUGCUAAGAAAAAGGUUGCAACACAACUAGCAUUUGUAUACAGCGAGUUUAGACUUGAC